rnacentral:tRNA from 1 species
GCCGGUGUAGCUCAGCAGGUAGAGCAGCUGAUUUGUAAUCAGCAGGUCGCCGGUUCAAACCCGUCCACCGGCUCCA